rnacentral:rRNA from 1 species
GAUAAACGCUGGCGGCGCACAUAAGACAUGCAAGUCGAACGGACUUAACUCAUUCUUUACGAUUGAGAGCGGUUAGUGGCGGACUGGUGAGUAACACGUAAGCAACCUGCCUAUCAGAGGGGAAUAACAGUGAGAAAUCAUUGCUAAUACCGCAUAUGCUCACAGUACCACAUGGUACAGUGAGGAAAGGAGUAAUCCGCUGAUAGAUGGGCUUGCGCCUGAUUAGCUAGUUGGUGGGGUAACGGCCUACCAAGGCGACGAUCAGUAGCCGGACUGAGAGGUCGAACGGCCACAUUGGAACUGAGAAACGGUCCAGACUCCUACGGGAGGCAGCAGUGGGGAAUAUUGGGCAAUGGGCGCAAGCCUGACCCAGCGACGCCGCGUGAGGGAAGAAGGUCUUCGGAUUGUAAACCUCUGUCGUCAGGGAAGAAAAUGACGGUACCUGACAAGGAAGCACCGGCUAACUACGUGCCAGCAGCCGCGGU